CUGCAGCCGCAGAUAAGAUGGCCACUGCUUUAUCUUCUGGUAUUGACGAAAUCAGGCCUCCUGAUAUCACAAAAUCAUCAGAUGUUGAAGAACGAUAGUUGCCUGUUCAGAGGAUUUCGGUAUCAUCAUCCAGGGUGUUGAAGAGCAAUCUCGUUUCAGUUUUUGAAAGAGAUACUAUAGCUAUCAUCCUGGUGCAUCGGACGCUGAAGGUGAUGCAGGGCAUCUGUGAAACUGCACGUGGCCCGUACAAGCUAAACCAUUAAUACAAAGAAUAGGAGAAAGCUUCAAGUGGUCCAUACAAGCUAAACCAUGAUCUGGAUCAAAAGUACAGUGAGUCUCCUACAAUUGUGCAGUUCUGGGACGAGUCACACAAGAACAAAAACACAGAUGAGUGGGCAUCUGAGAGGGCUUGGUUGAUUGGGGUAUAAAUACUUGGUUAUUUUGUUGUUCAUCAGAAUCAGAAUCAGAAUCAGAAUCAGAAUCUGAAUCUGAAUCUGAAUCUGAAUCAGAUGCGAGAGAUAUUAGCAACAAAACAAGCCACGGGGGAAGCAUCUCAUGAUUGGGAAUUUGGAAUUCAGCGUUAAUAGAAGCCCAGGGACAAAUUAAGAAAAAACAGGUCCUCGGUCUUCUUCGAAUCCCAGCAAAUUCGGUUAUCCGGGCCCUCAAAGGUAGGAAGCAACAUCAGAGCCAGAGGAACCAUAGGUUUCAGCCAGCAGCAGCAGUAGUUGGUGGUGGUCGGCGGUUGGUG
rnacentral:lncRNA from 1 species